AUACGGAGGGCGCAAGCGUUGCCCGGAAUCACAGGGUGUAAAGUGUGCGUAGGCGGGGCUGUAAGUCAGAGGUGAAAUCCCUCGGCUCAACCGGGGAAUCGCCUCUGAUACUGCAGCUCUUGAGUCCCGGAGAGGCCGCUGGAAUUCCUGGUGUAGCGGUGAAAUGCGUAGAUAUCAGGAGGAACACCGGAGGCGAAGGCGGGCGGCUGGACGGGGACUGACGCUGAGGCACGAAAGCGUGGGGAGCAAACAGGAUUAGAAACCCUAGUAGUCC
rnacentral:rRNA from 1 species